rnacentral:rRNA from 1 species
CUUUGGGAUAACCCUCGGAAACGGGGGCUAAUACCGAAUAUGACUGCUGCCCGCAUGGGUGGUGGUGGAAAGAAUUUCGGCUGAGGUUGGACUCGCGGCCUAUCAGCUUGUUGGUGGGGUAAUGGCUUACCAAGGCGACGACGGGUAGCCGGCCUGAGAGGGCGACCGGCCACAUUGGGACUGAGACACGGCCCAGACUCCUACGGGAGGCAGCAGUGGGGAAUAUUGCACAAUGGGCGGAAGCCUGAUGCAGCGACGCCGCGUGAGGGAUGAAGGCCUUCGGGUUGUAAACCUCUUUCAGCAGGGACGAAGCGCAAGUGACGGUACCUGCAGAAGAAGCGCCGGCCAACUACGUGCCAGCAGCCGCGGUAAGACGUAGGGCGCGAGCGUUGUCCGGAUUUAUUGGGCGUAAAGAGCUCGUAGGCGGCUUGUUGCGUCGACCGUGAAAACCCGGGGCUCAACUUCGGGCUUGCGGUCGAUACGGGCGGGCUAGAGUUCGGUAGGGGAGACUGGAAUUCCUGGUGUAGCGGUGAAAUGCGCAGAUAUCAGGAGGAACACCGGUGGCGAAGGCGGGUCUCUGGGCCGAUACUGACGCUGAGGAGCGAAAGCGUGGGGAGCGAACAGGAUUAGAUACCCUGGUAGUCCACGCUGUAAACGUUGGGCGC